CGUGUCUCAAAAAAAGCAUAGCCUCCACAAAUUUAUCUCUCGCACUACCCCCCACCCAGAAAAUUAUUCUCUCGCACUCACACCUCCAUACACUCACACGCGGCUCUUGCCUGAUCUCCUUUUCAUUUUGUUCUAUCUGCUUGCUCCAAAUCUACUUUUGCCCGAUGAGUUGUGGCUGGUGACGCUGUUCGGCUCACUGGUGCGGCCACGGGUGGCGCCUGAUUUGGCUCCCUGUACGCCUCCUCAAUAUCUGAGGCCGGUCAACGGCGAUGGAGGGGUAACAGGAGCCUGACUUCGGCGUCUCAUUCUUCCACCAAUGGUUCCCGCUUCGCCCCUUUCCGGUCUCUCUUAUCUCCCCCUGUUUCUUAUACUUGCUCUGCAUGUGUAUGGUUGAACCAAUAUAAUGAAAUUAAGGCACAGCUUGUUAGUUAAAGAUGUAAAUCUAUUUAUGCCCGUCCAAUUUUUUCCAUGCUUCGGACCGUCAUCGGCAGUGUAGGCCCCCUGCUCCCAUUCAUAUUCUUAUUUGAGAUUAUCUAUAGUUGUUCUAUUUCCCAAAGAUAGAGUUAAGUUUAAUAAGUGAAUAUGAAAUUUGUGCUAUUGCAUGCUACAUGUGAACUAUAACAAUUCGUGGAUGUUUUCACUAUUGGCUUGUUCAAUAUAAUAAGCUUCAAAUAUCAGAUAAUAUAGUGUCCACAAUUUGUAUUAUUGAGCUAUUUCCAUCAAAUGUUGAUGCAUGUUUUCAGAACUUCUGGCAGUAGUAGUUCAUAUUCGUUCUGCGGCUUCUGCCAUAUUAGCAUAAAGUCAUUUUUAAAUUAAAUAUAAUUUCUAGUGUACUAAUUUUCCAACCACUUAUGGUUAGCUAAAAGGCUAGUAGCAACUGUAUAUGUGUUUUUAGUUCCAACCUUUAGAAUAUUUCCGUGCAGCUUAUGUUCUUGACCACAUCAUCCUUGUUAGUUCAUUUGCCAUAGAAAAGAAAAUAAUAGAUGUGAUCAAGUCAGUAGGUUAUCACUUUGUGAGUGUUUUUGCAAAGUAUUCCCUUUCUCGUAUGUUUCCCAUGAAGUCCUUGAGCUUUAUGUACAAAUUCUGUCAACAAUAUCAGGUCUUUGUGAUGUUGCUUGGCCUACUUCCUGUAACAAUAUCAUGUGCCUUACAGCCGUGCUGUGUGAGCCACCUCGGAGGGGAGGGGACGACAUGUGCCUCCCAGUCCUCCCGCGUGAUUUUACACCCGAGAGGAAGAAGGAUGAGGGGCUUUCGGCCAUGGUGUAGCCACACUAGGGUUUCUCAUAGUAGGGUUUCCUUGUUUUUCUUUUAUCCUGUUUCUUCUAGUUUGGUCGUUCGCUGUGAUAAGGUAGAUUAUUUUUAGAGGAAACAAAAGCUGGAGGCAAUGGAAGUACGCAUUGUUCUAUUAGAAUGGCAAUGGUGGGUAAUUUUCAUAUUAAAUUUAAUCUAAUGGCUGUUCAUUUGUUUGUGUAUUAAAUUAAUGGUUGGAUGCUUCUGUUUUUGUGGUAAUUUCUAGCCUAAUUUAUUUUUUCUAAUUAACCCAUCAAGUACUUUUUAUAUAUAAAUAGAUAAUGUUUUUUAGAGAUAUUCUAAUGCCUUUUCUCUCAUAAUAUGCAAGGUACACACAAAGAGGGAGAAUUCCGGCAGCUGGAAAUCUAGACCUGGAAAAGCUACGUCAGGCUACCUAUUCUGCACAACUCCAAACAAGCUGAAACUUUACGGAGAAUUUUUAUGGAAUAUAUGAAUAAUAUUGGAGCAAAAGUCCCUCUCGCAAGUAAGCAUGAUUAUCAUUUGUGAGUAGUUACUUACAAGGAGCUACAAUUGAUCCCUAUACUUGUGGGUCAUCAGUCCCUCUCGACCUCUAUCCAUUGUUGGCCAGACCUCUAUUGGACAGGUACUAUAGGGGGGUUUUGCUCCGUUGCAAA